rnacentral:rRNA from 1 species
GAUGAACGCUGGCGGCGUGCCUAAUACAUGCAAGUCGAGCGAACGGACGAGAAGCUUGCUUCUCUGAUGUUAGCGGCGGACGGGUGAGUAACACGUGGAUAACCUACCUAUAAGACUGGGAUAACUUCGGGAAACCGGAGCUAAUACCGGAUAAUAUUUUGAACCGCAUGGUUCAAAAGUGAAAGACGGUCUUGCUGUCACUUAUAGAUGGAUCCGCGCUGCAUUAGCUAGUUGGUAAGGUAACGGCUUACCAAGGCAACGAUGCAUAGCCGACCUGAGAGGGUGAUCGGCCACACUGGAACUGAGACACGGUCCAGACUCCUACGGGAGGCAGCAGUAGGGAAUCUUCCGCAAUGGGCGAAAGCCUGACGGAGCAACGCCGCGUGAGUGAUGAAGGUCUUCGGAUCGUAAAACUCUGUUAUUAGGGAAGAACAUAUGUGUAAGUAACUGUGCACAUCUUGACGGUACCUAAUCAGAAAGCCACGGCUAACUACGUGCCAGCAGCCGCGGUAAUACGUAGGUGGCAAGCGUUAUCCGGAAUUAUUGGGCGUAAAGCGCGCGUAGGCGGUUUUUUAAGUCUGAUGUGAAAGCCCACGGCUCAACCGUGGAGGGUCAUUGGAAACUGGAAAACUUGAGUGCAGAAGAGGAAAGUGGAAUUCCAUGUGUAGCUGUGAAAUGCGCAGAGAUAUGGAGGAACACCAGUGGCGAAGGCGACUUUCUGGUCUGUAACUGACGCUGAUGUGCGAAAGCGUGGGGAUCAAACAGGAUUAGAUACCCUGGUAGUCCACGCCGUAAACGAUGAGUGCUAAGUGUUAGGGGGUUUCCGCCCCUUAGUGCUGCAGCUAACGCAUUAAGCACUCCGCCUGGGGAGUACGACCGCAAGGUUGAAACUCAAAGGAAUUGACGGGGACCCGCACAAGCGGUGGAGCAUGUGGUUUAAUUCGAAGCAACGCGAAGAACCUUACCAAAUCUUGACAUCCUUUGACAACUCUAGAGAUAGAGCUUUCCCCUUCGGGGGACAAAGUGACAGGUGGUGCAUGGUUGUCGUCAGCUCGUGUCGUGAGAUGUUGGGUUAAGUCCCGCAACGAGCGCAACCCUUAAGCUUAGUUGCCAUCAUUAAGUUGGGCACUCUAAGUUGACUGCCGGUGACAAACCGGAGGAAGGUGGGGAUGACGUCAAAUCAUCAUGCCCCUUAUGAUUUGGGCUACACACGUGCUACAAUGGACAAUACAAAGGGCAGCGAAACCGCGAGGUCAAGCAAAUCCCAUAAAGUUGUUCUCAGUUCGGAUUGUAGUCUGCAACUCGACUACAUGAAGCUGGAAUCGCUAGUAAUCGUAGAUCAGCAUGCUACGGUGAAUACGUUCCCGGGUCU